CUAAUACUGAUUGGCUAUAUUGGCAGGGUGGGUAGUUUGGAAGGAAGGAUGGUUAUGGGACAGGUCAGAGUAGGUAACCAGGGGUCAAAUCAGGUGACUGGAGCAGGUGUCUGGGAUGAGUCAGGAUGG